AGGAAAUUGUGACAGAGGUCGAGGUGGUCUGCCAGAGAACGGGGUCAAAACUGUGGCUGUCAAGGAAGCCCAGCAGAUGACUGCAGACUGAGGCUGGCCAUGACAAUGAAGCUGAAGUCCUGCAGAAACAGCUCCUCCUGCUGGACGGGCACAGAGGCAUCUGGAAACAGAGAAAGACAAGCAGAGGAAAUGGCAGCCAAAUUCCUGUGGAAUGAAUGAAGAGGAAAUCUGCAAGUGGCAGCCUACCACGAGAUCGCUCUGAAAGGAGAGGGUGGAAAAGCUGUGGCCCUUUCCUCUGGCGUGGACCCGGGC